rnacentral:rRNA from 1 species
CUACGGGGGGUGCAAGCGUUAAUCGGAAUUACUGGGCGUAAAGCGCGCGUAGGCGGUUUGCUCAGUCGGAUGUGAAAGCCCAGGGCUCAACCUUGGAACUGCAUACGAUACUGGCAAACUAGAGUGUGAGAGAGGAUAGUGGAAUUUCCGGUGUAGCGGUGAAAUGCGUAGAUAUCGGAAGGAACAUCAGUGGCGAGGGCGACUGUCUGGCUCAACACUGACGCUGAGGUGCGAAAGCGUGGGUAGCAAACAGGAUUAGAUACCCUAGUAGUCC